rnacentral:rRNA from 1 species
UCCGUAGGUGAACCUGCGGAGGGAUCAUUAUAGAGUUUUCUAAACUCCCAACCCAUGUGAACUUACCAUUGUUGCCUCGGCAGAAGCUGCUCGGUGCACCUUACCUUGGAACGGCCUACCCUGUAGCGCCUUACCCUGGAACGGCUUACCCUGCAACGGCUGCCGGUGGACUACCAAACUCUUGUUAUUUUAUGGUUAUCUGAGCGUCUUAUUUUAAUAAGUCAAAACUUUCAACAACGGAUCUCUUGGUUCUGGCAUCGAUGAAGAACGCAGCGAAAUGCGAUAAGUAAUGUGAAUUGCAGAAUUCAGUGAAUCAUCGAAUCUUUGAACGCACAUUGCGCCCAUUAGUAUUCUAGUGGGCAUGCCUGUUCGAGCGUCAUUUCAACCCUUAAGCCUAGCUUAGUGUUGGGAGCCUACUGCUUUUGCUAGCUGUAGCUCCUGAAAUACAACGGCGGAUCUGCGAUAUCCUCUGAGCGUAGUAAUUUUUAUCUCGCUUUUGACUGGAGUUGCAGCGUCUUUAGCCGCUAAACCCCCCAAUUUUUAAUGGUUGACCUCGGAUCAGGUAUGAAUACCCGCUGAACUUAAGCAUAUCAAUAAGCGGAGGA